rnacentral:rRNA from 1 species
AUGUCGCCGAAGAAGAUCCCGAAGAGUAAGACGGGGUUCCUCGGCGUGCGGGCGAAGCCGUCCAGCAACUUCGGCAUGGAGUUCUACGGCGAGGGACGCCACUUCUGGCUCGACAUGCACUCCACCGCCGACGGUGCCGCACGUGCUUACAUUGGAAGCAAGGAGUCAAUGGGAUACAUGCAGAAACACAACUAA